rnacentral:rRNA from 1 species
UCGCCUGUUUAUCAAAAACAUGUCCUUAUGAUUAUAAUUUAAGGUCUGACCUGCCCACUGAAGUGAAUUUAAAGGGCCGCGGUAUUUUGACCGUGCAAAGGUAGCAUAAUCAUUAGUCUUUUAAUUGGAGGCUGGAAUGAAUGGUUGGACGAGGUAUUGACUGUCUCAUUGUAAAUGGUAUUAGAAUUUAACUUUUGAGUCAAAAGGCUUAAAUUUUUUUAAGGGACGAGAAGACCCUAUAGAGCUUUAUAAUUAAUUAGUUAUAAUUUAUUUAGUUGAAUUUAUGUUAUAAUUUGUCAAUUAUUUUGUUGGGGUGACAGGAAGAUAAAUAAAACUCUUUUUAAAUUUUUGUUCAUUGAUUUAUGAUUUGUUGAUCCAUUAUUAAUGAUUAAAAGACUAAGUUACCUUAGGGAUAACAGCGUAAUCUUUUUUGAGAGUUCUUAUCGACAAAAAGGGUUGCGACCUCGAUGUUGGAUUAAGGGUAAUUUUGGGUGUAGAUGUUCAAAGUUUAGGUCUGUUCGACCUUUAGAUCCUUACAUGAUCUGAGUUCAAACCGGAGA